rnacentral:rRNA from 1 species
GGCGAACGCUGGCGGCGUGCUUAACACAUGCAAGUCGAACGGAAAGGCCCUGCUUUUGUGGGGGGCUCGAGUGGCGAACGGGUGAGUAACACGUGAGUAACCUGCCCUUGACUUUGGUAUAACUUCAGGAAACUGGGGCUAAUACCGUAUAGGAGCUCCUGCGGCAUGGUGGGGGUUGGAAAGUUUCGUCGGUUGGGGAUGGACUCGCGGCUUAUCAGCUUGUUGGUGGGGUAGUGGCUUACCAAGGCUUUGACGGGUAGCCGGCCUGAGAGGGUGACCGGCCACAUUGGGACUGAGAUACGGCCCAGACUGCUACGGGAGGCAGCAGUGGGGAAUAUUGCACAAUGGGCGGAAGCCUGAUGCAGCAACGCCGCGUGCGGGAUGACGGCCUUCGGGUUGUAAACCGCUUUCGCCUGUGACGAAGCGUGAGUGACGGUAAUGGGUAAAGAAGCACCGGCUAACUACGUG